CGACUGGGUAGGGGUCGAGGUGGUUCCUCCGUCUUGCGCUGCGUCUGGUGCGUUCCUCUGUCUUCCGCAACCUCCAGCUAGGGUCCCCAGCUCACCGCCGCACCACCUGCCUCUAUACAGCUGCGCCGCCGCCUGCCCCCAUCUAUCUCAAUGGCUAAAAGGGAUGCGGGUUCCUUCCGCGUGCCGCUUUUCCCGUGGCGGCACCACCACCUCCGUCGAUGUGCCUCAGACGAUCACCGUCGCCGACGAUCCGUUCUUGUUUGCUUAAUGUCUCGCGUCCUCUGUUGUCUUCCAUCUCUGCUCUUGGUGGAUAGCGGCUGGUGGUCAGCGAUUGCUGCUGGUCGGGCUGCCGUGUCUCCGGCCAAGUUCAGGCUCGGCGUUCGCGUUUCUUUCACGGAGUUGGUGCGGGGUGAGGUUUUGGUGGGUUGUGGAGCUGCUGGGGCUGUCUUUCCUGCCAGGCGGCGGGGUUUCACGCUGCUGAUCCUUUGGCAGUGGUGCGCCCUUUUGGGGGCUUCGACGGCGCUGACCGGCUUCAUCCUUUUGUCCUCUCCGGCUGCCGACAUUUUUGUCAGGUGCCAGUCUUCUUAUGUAUCAACAACUCUUUAUAUACCCACUCAUCAAUAAAGUUCUUGGACAUGUCAGAUCUUCUCAAAUCGCAGCUGUUCUGUGCAUACCUAGUCCCUUUGCCUACCCCUAUAUGAAAUACCUGUCAGAACCUGGAUUAUCAAUCCUUCUGAAUAUUGUAUCGUUCAUAAAAAAUAAUCUUGGUGCGAGUAUUCUUUUCCAUCUUAUUUUAGACUUUCAGAAUCUACAAAGUAGAUAGAUCAUAGAUGGCAAUUGUGAUGUUUCUGAAAAUCCGUGUAGUGUUUUGCCACCAGAAAGGAGUUGACUCAAUCUUAGAUACUCCCUCCGUCCAUCUUAAGUGACUCAAAUUUGCCCAAAUAUGGAUGUAUCUAUACCCAAAAAUCGUCUAGAUACAUUUAAUAUUUUGUCACUUAAUAUGGAACAGAGGGAGUACUAUUUUUCUGUCACAAUAGCUAAAGUUUAUCUCACGACGAGUAUUGGUCUCCAUGAUUACUUUAUCAAGUUACCAUCAUCACAUACACUUUCAUCCUUCAAAACAAUGCUGUGGUACGUAACCCUUAAGUUCAUCUCAAUUUCAAUUUCCUUUAUAGAAGAUCUGUGCUUCAAGUCUGCAACUGACUGAUGAUCAUGAAAUUACUAACAGUCUCAGGACCAAAGAGGAGCAGCAAACGGAUUGGCCAUGACAGUAAUGUCCUUUUUCAAGGCAGUUGCUCUGGCAGGUGCUGGCAUUGUGUUCUCUUGGGCGCAGAAACACCAGCAUGCUUUCUUCUUUCCAGGUGACCAGAUGGUGUUCUUCCUCCUGAAUAUCUUGGAGCAAUAUGAUGGAAACUAGCUUUCAUUUUACCUGAUUGCGACUUCAGGAAGGGUUGCUUACCUCAUAUAUUGUGUAUCCUGUAGUAGCAAAGAAUCAAUGAGUGAGGACAGAGAUGAAGGGUUACAUGAAGAAGAUGAAUAAAGACUUUCAGCCUUUCAGGUGCUGCAUCUGUGAGAAACAUAGCCACAAUUACAGAACAUGAAAAAGGACUUCCAGGCCUGAUCUCCUGACAAAAUGAUACUUUCAAAUGCAAUAUGAUAUCCAUCGCACUAUUUUGGUUUUAAUAAAUGUGUGUGCAAUAUUAGGAGUCAAGCAAACAACAAGGAUAUGGUCUAAUGUUGCUGGUGCUCCAAUAUGUUGAUCCUUAUAGUGGAUAUGACAUUUCAGAUGCUGCUGCCACAUCUUCUACAGCACCAAGCAAUGCGGUUCUGCCAAGGGGAUAUAGAAGGCAAGCUUUACUACCUACACAUUUGCGUAUGUGAUGAUCUCCUUUUGGGUUCUGGGGUGAUUUUUGGAACAAGUUAAUACUUCACUCCAGAUAUUGGUUCAUCUUUUUGACAGUAGAAAAUAAUGAUGAUUAUGUCCAACAUGGUAUUCGAAAAGGUGCUGGUACUAGGCUUAUAUUUCUAAGUUUUUUUCGUUUACGGUGUUCAAGUUUUGUUUCAGACAGUGUUAGGCUUUCUUAGCUGUAGUGUACAACCCAUUUUGGGCAGGAUUUGUUUAGUGGUUCUCUCAAAUCUGUAACGACUUUAUUAUUUAUGAAAUAUUACUGCGUCUCUCGGUCA